rnacentral:rRNA from 1 species
GGAAUCCGCGGGGACCAUCCCGCAAGGCUAAAUACUCCCUAGUGACCGAUAGUGAACCAGUACCGUGAGGGAAAGGUGAAAAGCACCCCGGAAGGGGAGUGAAAUAGAUCCUGAAACCGUGUGCCUACAACAAGUCAAAGCUCGUUAAUGAGUGAUGGCGUGCCUUUUGUAGAAUGAACCGGCGAGUUACGAUUGCAUGCGAGGUUAAGUCGAAGAGACGGAGCCGCAGCGAAAGCGAGUCUGAAUAGGGCGAAUGAGUAUGUAGUCGUAGACCCGAAACCAUGUGAUCUACCCAUGUCCAGGUUGAAGGUGCGGUAAAACGCACUGGAGGACCGAACCCACGUACGUUGAAAAGUGCGGGGAUGAGGUGUGGGUAGCGGAGAAAUUCCAAA